UAUAAUAACAAAAUCAUAAUUCUAAUAGAAUACUGAAACUGCUCUAAUUAGACCAUAAUAAUGUUAAGCAAGCUUAAUCAAAUUCAAAAAAUCCUCAAAGAAAUUUCAAACAAAAAAUAAGAAUUUUUAAAGAAAUAUUAGAAGAAUCACAAAUAUCACUCAAAUACAUCUCAAUUCAAUCUUAAUUCAAUUCUAAUUAAAAUCCUAUUGAACUUCAUUCAAACUUUAGGCCAAAACUAAUUAAAUCUUAAAUCCUAAUAAAAUCCUAAACCCUAAAUCAAAUCCUAGACAAACCUCAAACCAAACCCCAACCAAAUCCUAAACCAAAUCCUAACCAAACUCUAAAUCAAAUCCUAAAUCCUAAAUCAAAUCCUAACCAAAUCCUAAUCAAAAUCUUAAACCCUAAACCAAACUCUAAUCCAAAUCCUAAAUCCUAAAAGAAACCCUAACCAAACCUUAAAUCCUAAAUAAAUCCGUAAUCAAACCCUAAACCAAUUCCUAAUCCUAAUCCUAAAUCCUAAACUAAAUCUUAACUAAAUCCUCAAUCCUA
rnacentral:lncRNA from 1 species